CCUUGUAUCCCGGUCGCGGCCCUUUGAAAGAGGGGCCUUCAGUUCGGCUGGACCGGUGACAGGUGCUGCAUGGCUGUCGUCAGCUCGUGUCGUGAGAUGUUGGGUUAAGUCCCGCAACGAGCGCAACCCUCGCCCUUAGUUGCCAUCAUUUAGUUGGGCACUCUAAGGGGACUGCCGGUGAUAAGCCGCGAGGAAGGUGGGGAUGACGUCAAGUCCUCAUGGCCCUUACGGCCUGGGCCACACACGUGCUACAAUGGCGGUGACAAUGGGCAGCAAACCCGCAAGGGGGCGCUAAUCUCAAAAAGCCGUCUCAGUUCGGAUUGGAGUCUGCAACUCGACUCCAUGAAGUUGGAAUCGCUAGUAAUCGUGGAUCAGCACGCCACGGUGAAUACGUUCCCGGGCCUUGUACACACCGCCCGUCACACCAUGGGAGUUGGGUUUACCCGAAGGUGGUGCGCUAACCCGCAAGGGAGGCAGCCAACCACGGUAGGCUCAGCGACUGGGGUGAAGUCGUAACAAGGUAGCCGUAGGGGAACCUGCGGCUGGAUCACCUCCUUUCUG
rnacentral:rRNA from 1 species